UAAAGUGAUUCAUAAGUUUUAUGCUUUAAGGACUAAAUUGAAAGAAUUUCAAAAUUAUGGUUUUAUGAUGAAAAUAGAUAAUUAUGUCUAAGUUUGGUUAAAAAUUGAGUAGAAGUAAAGUAUGAAUUAAGAUAGAAAAGUAAGUGAAUUUAGUUAGGAUUAAAUUGAAAUUAAAAGUAGAAAAUCAACAUUUUGCACUAAGACUAUUUUGGACAGC
rnacentral:lncRNA from 1 species